UACGUAGGGUGCGAGCGUUUAAUCGGAAUUACUGGGCGUAAAGCGUGCGCAGGCGGUUCGUUAAGUCAGCUGUGAAAGCCCCGGGCUCAACCUGGGAAUUGCGGUUGAAACUGGCGAACUAGAAUCUGGCAGAGGGGGGUGGAAUUCCACGUGUAGCAGUGAAAUGCGUAGAGAUGUGGAGGAACACCGAUGGCGAAGGCAGCCCCCUGGGCUGAGAUUGACGCUCAGGCACGAAAGCGUGGGGAGCAAACAGGG
rnacentral:rRNA from 1 species